rnacentral:rRNA from 1 species
CCCAGUAAACGGCGGCCGUAACUAUAACGGUCCUAAGGUAGCGAAAUUCCUUGUGGGGUAAGUUCCCACGCGCACGAAUGGUGUAACGAGUUGGGCGCUGUCUCAAGGAGAGACUCGGCGAAAUUGUAGUGGCGGUGAAGAUGCCGUCUACCCGCACCAAGACGAAAAGACCCCGGAACCUUUACUGUAGUCUGGUAUUGAGUUUGAGGUCUAUUUGUGUAGCAUAGGUGGGAGGCUGUGAAUAUGUCGCGUUAGCGGCAUAGGAGCCAUCAGUGAAAUACCACCCUUAUAGUUCUUAGAUUCUAAUAACGACCCUUGAAUCAGGGCGUUAGACAGUGCCAGAUGGGCAGUUUGCUUGGGGCGAGUCCCUUCUAAAAGAUAACGAAGGGGUCCAAAGGUUCCCUCAAGACGGUUGGCAAUCGUCUGUAGAGUGUAAAGGCAUAUGGGAGCUUAACUGUGAUUCCGACAGGAAGAACAGAUAGGAAACUAGGGCUUAGUGAUCCGGUGGUAGAUUAUGGGAUUGCCAUCGCUCAACGGAUAAUAGGUACUCCGGGGAUAACAGGCUGAUAGCGCUCGAGAGUUCAUAUCGACAGCGCUGUUUGGCACCUCGAUGUCGGCUCAUCCUAUCCUGGGGCUGAACAAGGUCCCAAGGGUCCGGCUGUUCGCCGGUUAAAAGGGUACGCGAGCUGGGUUUAGAACGUCGUGAGACAGUUCGGUCUCUAUCUGGUGUGGGCGUUCGAUACUUGAAGGGGAUAUCUCCUCAGUACGAGAGGACCGGGAGAUACAGACCUCUGGUGUUCCAGUUGUUCUGCCAAGGGCAAUGGCUGGGUAGCUACGUUUGGAAAGGAUAAGCGCUGAAAGCAUAUAAGCGCGAAGCCUACCUCAAGAUUAGGUAUCGUUUUUUGCUUCGGCAAAAUAAAGACUCCUCGGAGACUACGAGGUUGAUAGGCUGCGUGUGUAAGAGUAGUAAUACUCUCAGCUAAGCAGUACUAAUUAGUCGAACGCUUGUUUUA